AGGAAAUAGGGUGAGGAGUCCUUAUUUGAUUCGACGCUGAAAACUAGAUGAUUACUACGCCUACGGGUGAUCUCUUAAUUCCCUGAAUUUUUCUUCGGGAACUAAAACGCGCUUACGGUACCUAUAAAUGUGUCAAAUAACCCAAAAUCAGUCACAGCGCCUACUAGGCAAAUUUCAGAAAUCUGGCACGGCAGCUCUGCCGUGCUCCGGCGACGGCACCGCCGUGCUCCGGCGACGGCACCGCCGCCCGCGGUAGUGAUCCGCCUCGGGUUGGCUGUUUUCGGCCGUUUUUGGCCG
rnacentral:lncRNA from 1 species